AUGAAUCCUUGUUUGCAGACUGUAAAUGCACUACAGAAAUAAAGAAAGUGUGUAUGAGAGCUGGCAGAGCAAAGGGGGCAAGCAGAGCCAAGCACCGUGAACAAGGCUCAGGGUCAUAGGGCACACAUGAUAGUGUAAUGCAGGAGGAGUGCGAGCUUUGUCACUGGGCAUUCAGGUCUUCCCUGGCAGGAGACUGCUUACGUGCCACACAGGACCCUGCCACCGUCAAGUCCACUCUCCUGCCUGUGCAGAGGUGGAAGCUGUUCCUAGGCUGAUUUGCAGCAUUAGAGGGCAGGCAGCCACAGCUGAAGGGACCAAAGACAUGUGAACAAACGCAGGCUCCGGGAUGCCAAGUGACUUCAUAUCAACAUCACCCAGCAGAUUAAGGGAACUGGGCCCAGACUCCUAGGCUCCUGACUACCCAGUCCUGUGCCCAUUCUAGUGGCCACUAUACUCACCCACUGGUUGUAGCCAUAUCUGGCUUAGGCUGGCAACACUUUUGAAGCAAGGAUGAUGCUUUCUUUCUUUUGCCCAAGACCAUUCUUCAUAUAAUAAGACAAUUAACAGAUUGUGGGUUUGAUUUAUAUGUAUGGUGAACUAACACUGGAAUGUAUCUGAAAGAUUGAGGCAGGAGAGGUAGUCAAGGAAGUAACCACGUCUUUCAGACGUGGCAACCGUGAUGACCACCAACACAAUAAGCCCUGGUGUUGACACUGUAGUCAAGCUCAUUCAAGCAAAGCUAUUUUCAGUAGGGAAUUUCCUCUGUAGAGAGCAUGCACAUUUUGAUUUUACCUGUCCUCAAACUGACCCUUUGCUCAUUAUAAUACUAAUAUAAAAAAUACUAAUAUUAAAAAAACCCCUGGGUGGAGAUUUAAGACGUUAAUGAGACAUGCGACCUAUGAAUAAGCAUGUACAGCUACUGCACAUGUGCAUCCAGAGGACCACCCACAAUAUGCUUACUAGUAACAUCUCCUUCCACACCCUUAUGAAUAAUCAUGUAAGAUUCCCAUAAGGGUAGUCUCCCUAGGGCCAGUCCAUGCUUUCUCUUCUUUAUGAGCAGCCUGCCAUGAAUCCUCUCUCAGGGUGCACUGUCUAUUCUGCACCCAGCUUUUAGAAUAUUCUUUCUCUUUUGCAAUAAAUUGCUCUAUGCUGCAGCUCCUUUGCUGUGUGUCUCUUCUUUAAGUUCUUUUAAACUAAUAAGACAAGAACUGAGGUCUCACAACAGCCAUCAACAAGAUUGUUGAAAUUCUGGAAGAGUGAUUUUCCCCAUGGGUAAUACAUUAUUCUUUUUAUUAUUUCAA
rnacentral:lncRNA from 10 species